CCUACGGGGGGCUGCAGUGAGGAAUAUUGGUCAAUGGACGAGAGUCUGAACCAGCCAAGUAGCGUGAAGGAUGACUGCCCUAUGGGUUGUAAACUUCUUUUAUAUGGGAAUAAAAUGUUCCACGUGUGGGAUUUUGUAUGUACCAUAUGAAUAAGGAUCGGCUAACUCCGUGCCAGCAGCCGCGGUAAUACGGAGGAUCCGAGCGUUAUCCGGAUUUAUUGGGUUUAAAGGGAGCGUAGGUGGAUUGUUAAGUCAGUUGUGAAAGUUUGCGGCUCAACCGUAAAAUUGCAGUUGAAACUGGCAGUCUUGAGUACAGUAGAGGUGGGCGGAAUUCGUGGUGUAGCGGUGAAAUGCUUAGAUAUCACGAAGAACUCCGAUUGCGAUGGCAGUUCACUGGACUGCAACUGACACUGAGGCUCGAAAGUGUGGGUAUCAAACAGGAUUAGAUACCCGAGUAGUC
rnacentral:rRNA from 1 species